UGGAAGUCAGUUUUUGUAAAUACUCAAUUGUCGUUUGGGAGAUAAACUUUGUUUACUUCUAG
rnacentral:tRNA from 1 species